UUACCGACAAGUAACAGAUGCUUGUCUCUUGAAUCGGGCAUCGAGAGAAAUAAACAAAUAUUUUCCCAACUUGAACUUCUCUGCCACUUGGGUUUUUAUUGCUACGUGGGAUAAAGUACCAUACUAUGGAAACAGUGAGGCGAAAUCAACUUUCCAAGUGGUUUUGGUGUCUGGCAAAAACAUGUCAUUUACUCUCAUGCAUUAUGAUUUUAUCACUCGCAUCCAAAGCGUAGAGUCCGGGUUUGACACAGUUAAUUCUACUAAUUUCUUUUCAAUUCCUUUU